CAGCAGCCGCGGUAAUACGUAGGGUGCAAGCGUUGUCCGGAAUUACUGGGCGUAAAGAGCUCGUAGGCGGUUUGUCGCGUCGUCUGUGAAAACCAGCAGCUCAACUGUUGGCUUGCAGGCGAUACGGGCAGACUUGAGUAUUUCAGGGGAGACUGGAAUUCCUGGUGUAGCGGUGAAAUGCGCAGAUAUCAGGAGGAACACCGGUGGCGAAGGCGGGUCUCUGGGAAAUAACUGACGCUGAGGAGCGAAAGCGUGGGUAGCGAACAGGAUUAGAUACCCUGGUAGUCCACGCCGUAAACGGUGGGCGCUAGGUGUGGGUUUCCUUCCACGGGAUCCGUGCCGUAGCUAACGCAUUAAGCGCCCCGCCUGGGGAGUACGGCCGCAAGGCUAAAACUCAAAGGAAUUGACGGGGGCCCGCACAAGCGGCGGAGCAUGUGGAUUAAUUCGAUGCAACGCGAAGAACCUUACCUGGGUUUGACAUACACCGGACGCUGGUAGAGAUAUCAGUUCCCUUGUGGUCGGUGUACAGGAGGUGCAUGGCC
rnacentral:rRNA from 1 species